rnacentral:lncRNA from 1 species
GGGAAGCCAAACGAAACAGAGAGCAGGGGAAGGAAAGAAAACAAAGAAAGGGAGAAAAGGAAAAAUUGGGAUUUCAAGGUUUGGAAGUUUAACUGGUAAGUUAAUUUAGCCAUUUUUACUUAAUUUUGAUGUUUUAAAAGUUUUGGAAUAAGAUUUUGAUGAAAUUAAGUUGAUAUUUUGAAAGCUAUUAGAUUUCUAGAUAAUGUUCAUGUUGAGUAAAAUGAUGAAAUAAGGGUUAAAUUGAUAGAAAUUCAAGUUAGAAAUGAAAUAAGGAUUGAAUUGUAAAGUAAUUCAUAAGUUUUAUGUUGUAGGGACUAAAUUGAUGAAAUUUCGAAAUUAGGAAAAUAUGCUGGAAAUUUAAUAGUUAAGUAUGAGUUUGGACAAAAUUUGAAUAGAAAUGAAGUAUGAAUUGAGAUAGAAAAAGUAAGUGUAUUUAGUUUAGAUUAAAUUGAAAUUAAAGUAGAAAUUGAAUAGAAAUUGUAUUAAUUAGAUAUAAAUUAGUAGUGAAUUAACGGAUAUGAAUUGUUUUAAUUCCCAUAGCUAACGUUGCCUCGGGAAAUCUCGACUAAGCAAGGAAAAAUGGCAAAAACAACGGGAGUUAGCUCGAGAAAAUACGGUUUGUAUUUCUAUAAUCUGAACCUAGUUAUUAAUUGUUAUUUUUUUAUUCAAUGCAUUUAAUAAAUGUUGAAGUGAGAAUUAUUGUGUUUAUAAUGGAAAUGGAUUAAUUUGGUAUGUGAUGAAUUUAUAUUGAUUGAAUUAAAUUGAAUUAUAUAUUAUAAAUAUAUAUAUAUGUGAAUGAGAUAUUGUGCAAUUAUGAUAAUUGAAUUUUGGAUAAAUGUUAUGAUAAAUAGUUAAGAUAGGAAUUAUUUGUAUUGUGUCUUUAUAAUUGAAAUGAAUUGAUUUAGUGUGUGAUAAAUUUAUAUUGAAUUGAUUUAUGAAUAUAUGUGAAUGUUUGAAUUGAAAUGAAUAUUGAUGUGGAAAUUGAAUAAUAAAUAUUUGUUAUAUUGGAAAAUAUAUGUAGUUGGAAGUGUGAUGAAAUUGAUAGAAAAUUGUGAUUAUUGUGAAAUUGAAUAUUUAUUAGUGAAAAGUGAAUGGAAUUAUAUUGAAUUGAAAAUAUAUAGUUAAUUAAUUAAAAUAUGAAUUAAUUGAAAAGUGAAAAGUGAAUUAAAUACCCUAUUAACUAGUCGGGCUAGUCGGAUAUAGUUGGCAUGCCAUAGGAUAUGGAAGAGUACGGGUUUUGCCUGCUUAUUGAUCAGACACUUAUGUGCCGAAUACUGUUACUGGUUACUGUUACCGUUACUGUUACCGAUUUGGCACUUUGUGUGCCGGAUAUUGUUACUGUUACCGUUACUGUUACUGUUUAGGAUUUGUUCCAAUGAGGUGCUCUGUGUACCAUACUGUUACUGUUACUGUUUCGGCUUCGGCCGAUGAGGCACUAUGUGCCGUACUGGUGUGUUGGUUGGAUCUAUGUAUCCGUCUAGAUCCGGGUCAUGUUAAUAGGGGUAAAUAAAGGAACUGGAAAGAUCGACUGUUACUGAAUAAUUUAAUUGUUACUGUAUAUUUGAUUUUACUGAAUAAUUGACUGCUACUAGAUAACCGAUCAACUGAUUGAUACUGAAUAACUGAUUAUUAUUGAAAUUGAUUAUUACCGACUGUUAUUGAAUAAAUAAUUAUUCUGAUUAGCUGAUUGUUAAUGAAUAUUACUGAUUGAUUAAUUGCUAUUGAAAAAUAAUAAAUGAUUUUGAAUUUAAAAUAGAUCUAAACAUUGGUUGGAAAGUGAAUGUUUGAAUACUCAUUGAGUUUGAAUAGUUCAAUAUAUAUAUAAAUUAAUAUGUUUUAUAAUUGUUUAAGUGUUCGGAUUAUAGAAAUACCACUGAGUGUAUACUUAGCGUACGGUUUGUUUCCGUGUGCAGGUUAAGGCUAGACCGUUGAAUCAGCAUCCCAGGCCGAUCCCGAAUUCAAUGAGGUAAAGCAUGUUGAGUAUUGGUAAUGGAAUGUACAUAGGACGUCUUAUGAGAGUCAUCUAGGUUGUGAAAGUCUUGAUGAAAUAAGUAAAUUAUGGUUGUCAAUGGUAUAUAGUAUGAAGUUGAAAUAAUUGAUAUAGUAAGUGAUAUAUUUAAAAAGAUUCAUUGGAUAGGUUAUAAAAUGUUUUAGAUUGGUAAGAUUUGAGCAUAUUUAAGUGUAUUUGAAUUGUUUGAAUGUUAGAAAAUUGUAUUGGUUGAAGUUUUAAUUUGCAGGGUUAGAAACAUUUAUUUUAAUAAAUGAUUAUAAUUGAACUGUACAGAUCGGUAAUGCCCUAUAAUCCUGUUCCGGGGACGGCGUUAGAGGGUGUUACAACUAGUAUUGUCACACUUGAUAGGUAUGGUAUUUACAUUAAUUUCAUAGUCCUUAAGUUGUUGUUUCAUCUAUAAAACUUGAACACAACAACUACCAGUGGAAAUGUAUUCCGCUUCGAUAGUGGACAACGCAACAUUAUUUUGUUUCCUUGAAAACCAUUAGAUUAACAUGUUGCCAAUAAAUUGACAAGUACUAGAGGUGCUCCUAUCUAGUUUGCAACUUCUAAAAUCUGCAUCCGAGAAAGUAUGAAAGCUAAAUGAAAAGUCUUUAGGAUACUAAAGUCUUAAACUAAGAGUGUCUCUAAAGUACCUAAAAAUUCUUUUAAUGGCUUGCAAAUAUGAUUCCUUAGGGCAUGAUUGAUAUUUAGCAUACAAGCAAACACUAAAUAUAAUAUUUGAUCUGCUUGCGGUGAAAUAAAGCAAAGAGCCAAUCAUUGACCUAUAUAAUUUGAAAUCUACACAUUUACCUUCAUUAUCUUUGUCAAGCUUUGUAGAAGAGUUUAUUGGUGUAGCUUGUGGUUUGAGAUUGUCCAUCCAAAACUUCUUGAGUAUUUCCCUUGUGUACUUUGAUUUAUUAUAAAGAUGUCAUCUUUCCUUUGAUUGAUUUGGAGUCUCAAAAAAAAGUUUAGUUCUCUCAUCAUGCUCUUAUAAUUUUACCUUGCAUUAGCUUGGAAAAUUCUUGAUAAAGAAAAUCAUUAAUAACACCAAAAAUAAUAUCAUCAACAUAUAUUUGAACAACUAACAAAUCCUUGUCUUUUAUUUUAAUAAAAAGUGUUGUCUCAACCUUCCCUUUACAAAUUGAAAGUCUUUCAUACCAAGCUCUAGUGUCACGGGGCUAGAUCUUUAGUCUCGCAAUCCGUGUGGCCUUAGGCAAUCCAUUCGUUCCAAACUCGCCUAAGUCAGCUUAACCACCACAAGUGAGGGUUCCUUUAGAAUUCCUCCAAGGCACAAAUUUAUAUAGCGGAAGUAAUUAUGCCAAAAUAAAGCUAAAGACAACAGAAAGCCACAAAAAACUAUGCAAGAGAAGUUUUUGAGUAAAUGCUCUCAAUUGUAUUACUUUCUCUCAAAGAAUACAAGAAACAAUGAAAGAAUAAAGUGAGUUACAAGUGAGGAGGAGGCUCUCUAUCUAUAGUUGAGCUCAGCCAAAAUCGACGGUCUAGAUCAAGUUACAUCGACAGACGAGAUUAGCCCAUCCUUUAAAUCUAGGGAUUUACAAGAUUAUAUAAUCAAUUUACAUAAUCAAAUCAAAUCUUAUAAGAUAUGAUUCUUCUCAAUCUUCUAAGAUUAGUUUCUAUAUUUACCAAGGUAGCCUAUGUUGCCAUAUCUUCAUCAUUGGGUCACCUAGGCUUCAAUCUGAUAAGCUUCUCUAACAGUUCUUUAAAUUAGGUUAGCUCUCGUGGGCUAAAUGAUCCCUAUGUCAAUGAUAAACCUUCAUGGGAUACAUUUCGUACGAUGGUCAUGGGUUUUGAACUACAACUCAUGAAAUUUUGCCUAACCCAUCUUGCAAUGUCCUCGUUGUGCCUUUGGAUUGAUACUGACUUGAUUCCAUCGGUCUAGUCUCGACACCUUAGCUUUUUUCUUCUUUUGAAACAUUUACCUCAACUUUCUUCGCCUCUUAUCUCAAACUGUCCCACUCAUUGGUACAUCUAGUUGGCAAGAAGUCUCCACUGUAACUUGCCUUAAUUUUGACUUGCCUCAUGCAAAAUCCUCUUGAUUCAUACCACUUGACUUUGAAUUCCCCAUAUUCCCUCAGCGUCAUUGCUUAAGAACUUUGAAAGGGCCCCUACGAUUUUUCCAAGCCAACAAGUCAAAAUUCACAACACUACCGAAGUGUUCGAAAUGUACCUUACUCGUAGCAUUUACUCAUCCCGACUGUGUUUGCAUCGCUUCUUUUCUAUUGAAAUCCAAUACACUCCCCACCUUACCCAGAGGUGGUAGCUCCAUAGUCGACUCCACAGGCCUUCUGUUGGUCUCAUAAGCCACUAACAUUCCCAAAGGGGCUUUUAUAGCACUCCGUUCUGUCAGUCAAUGUUUCUUCCAUACGAAACAUCCUCGACUAGUUGGAUUGACGAAAACACCUUAGUCCCCACUUUUAUAUCUCGAUGCAUCGGUACAAAAAUUUGUGAUAACGAACUAGUAACGUUAUGAAUUUGAUCAGCCCAUGGAAAUAGAAUUGCCUGAAUCCUGUCAAGGAAGUUUAAGCCAAGCACAAAAUCAUAAUCAUCUAACCGGAUUACCUCAAAUUCUUCCUUGCCUUUCCAUUCGCUGAUUUGUAGCUCGAGCUACUCCUACAGUUAUGGCCUCUUUGAAAUUUACUAUCUUGAUCUUCUUAUUCGAUUUCCUAAUCGAGAGACCAAGUUUCCUAACAACUUUUUUUUAUAUGAACAAGUCCGAUGCUCCCGUAUCAACAAAAGUACUUAUCUUCUGACCUGCAAUAUUGAUGUCUACAAAUAUCAACCCUUUUCUACCAUUCCUCUUUGCAGAAAUGAGUACCAUCAAAUUAAUCCUCAAUGUCUUUUUCUCAACAGGCUCCACUUCCUCUGGCUCAUCAUUCUUCUUGAUAGCUGAAAAAAAAGAUAACUUUGGGCAAUUCUUCUUCAUAUGAAGUCUCUUACAAAGGAAGCAUCUCAUCUUGCUCCCCUUCUCUUUCGGGCUAUUAGGUCUCUAUUUCCCAUUUCGUGGUUUCCCAUUACUACUGCCGCUGUUGCUACCAUCAUCGUUAUAUCCCUCUUCCUCACGGUCUUCUCUACCAUUGCCCUUGGAAGACCAAAAUUUGUUUCUCCUUGGAACAAUCUCAAGUAACGACUUCGCUACAAUCAUGGCUUUUGACAGUUCUUAGACACCUUCAUGUUCCAAUUCCUUUUUAACCUACGGCUUCAACCCAUCCAUAAAGAAGAAAAAUGUCUCAUCUUCAGUCAAAUUAGUGAUUUGCAACAUCAACUCACUAAUCUAUCCCACAGACUCCCUUAUUGUACCUUGUUGUGAGAACUGAUGCAACUUUGCCCGAGCCUCCUUCUUGAUAUAUUCUGGGUAAAACUGUACUUUGAACUCAUUUUGAAACUAUUCUCAAGUCCUAAUUCCGGUUCCACCACAUCUCACAUUUGUGGGCCUACGACACCACCAUAACGAAGCAACAUUAGUGAGAUAUAAAGAAGUAGUAUUUACCUUAGCAUCAUCAUCCUUGAUGCUCAUGGCACAAAAGUAUUGCUCAAUCUCCCAUAAGAAGUUAUUCACCUCCCUUGCGGACCUUGUCCCAUUGAACUUCUCUAGUUUGGAAGCAUCAAUCUUAUGGCCUGAUGUUCCACUCAACAUUCCUUUACUCACAACAACUCGGUACAAAGCAAGCUUUCCCACGAGCUCCUCUACUUUUGUGCUUAAUGUCCUUAUUGUGGCCAUUGUUUCCUCCUUCAAAGCCAUCGCCAUGGCUGCAAGAGCAUCAUCCUUCUCUUUCAGCUUACCCACACUAGAAUUGAACACCUAUUGCAUCUCAUCCAUAUUAGAAUUCAGAGACUCCAACACCAUUUCUCUGAGUUGCUCUUGCUUUGAGUCCAAAUCUGCAGUCCAUCCCUCGAUCAUCUUGAUAUUUUCCUUCACAUCAUCUAUGGACUCUUCGAGAUUAACCAAUCAUUCCUUCAAAGCUAACAUCAUGUCCCGCGAUUGAUUUGCUUUUCUGGCCCUUCCACGGGUCUCCAUUGGCUUGUUCUGAUUGGUAACUUCUUUCGACAUCCCAACGGUGCCUUCGCAACUAAUAAAUCUGAUACCACUUGUCAUGAGGCUAGAUCUUUAGUCUCGUAAUCCGUGCAACCUUAGGCAAUCCAUUCAUUUCAAACUCACCUAAGUUAGCCUAACCACCAUAAAUGAGGAUUCCUUUAGAAUUGUUAUAAGGCACCAAUUUAUAUAGUGGAAGCAAUUAUGCUAAAAGAAAGUUAAAGACAAUAGAAAACCAUAGAAAAAAGAAAGCUAAAGACAAUAGAAGCUACAGAAAACUAUGCACAAGAGAUUUUUGAGUAAAUGCUCUCAACUGUAUUACUUUCUCUCAAAGAAUACAAGAAACAAUGAAAGAUUGAAGUGAGUUACAAGUAAGGGGGAGGCUCUCUAUUUAUAGUUGAGCUCCCCCAAAAACCGACAAUCUAGAUCAAGUUACAUCGAUGGACGAGAUUAGUCUAUCCCUUAAAUCUAGGGGUUUAUAAGAUUACAUAAUCAAUUUACAUAAUCAAAUCCAAUCUAAUCUUAUAAGAUAUGAUUCCCCUCAAUCUUCUAAUAUUAGUUUCUCUAUUUAUCAAGGUAGCCUAUGUUGCCAUGUCAAUGAUUGACCUCCAUAGGAUACAUUUGGUGCAAUGGUCACUGGCUUUGAUUGCAGCUCGUAACACUAUGAGCUUGUUUCAAACCAUAUAAAGCUUUUGAUAAUUUAAAAACAUGGUUUGAAAAUUUUGAAUCUUUAAAACUGGAAGAUUGUUGAACAUACACUUCUUCAUUUAAAACCAUUUAGAAAAGCACUUUUCACAUCCAUUUAAUAUAACUUAAAAUCAUUAAAGUAUGCAAAAGCUAAGAGCAUUCUAAGAUACUCAUACAAAUUAAUUGAUAUGGAUUGACAUAAUACAUACUUAUCUAGCUAGGUAUCUGAGAGUAAACCCUCUCUUUAUUUAUUUUAUUUUUUAUUUUUUUCUCUUUUUAAAAUAAGCAAAGAGUCUAUUCUAAUGUGUCUAUUAUAAUGUAGUAAAAGACAAAAUUUGCUUAUCUUUCUUCUUCUUUUUUAUUUGUUCACACUGUGGCUUCUCACAUUCAAAAAGAAUGUUAAUACUUCAUACAUAUUUAAUUAAAAGAUAACAAUAGUUGGUUGAAAGGCCCAACAAAAAGUCGGGUCUAGAGGAGUUCAAGGAUAGAAAUAACCAAGACUCAUCUCAGCUACAGUACAAAUAGAAGCCGACCCCAUUUCAUUUAUUUCUUUGUAUUCUCUUUCAUAUUCCAUUUCUUCAUUCCCUUCUAUGCAACUCUUUGGAGUUCAUCUAAGUGAUGUGCGUGAUACAAAGUUCAUGGUACAGAACCCUUGUUGUUCAUCCCAUUGUCUCGGCUUGUCUGAAAUAAAAUAAAUAAAAAAGUCUAUUCAAAAAUCGAGAAUCUCAAUGAUGUAUUGUCUUUUAUUUCUUGGCUUCCAUUCUAGCUACAGAAGCAUAUGUUUCAUCAUAGUUUAUUCCUUCAUCUUGAGUGUAACCUUAAAAAUAAGCCUAGCCUUGUUUCUCACUAUGUUACCACUCUCAUCUAACUUAUUCCUAAAAACCCACUUAGUACCUAUAGUAGAUAUUUCACAUGAUCUUUCUAUAAGGGUCCAUACAUUACUUCUCUCAAAUUAAUUUAAUUCAUCUUGCAUAGCCAACAUCCAAUAAUCAUCAUUUAAUGCUUCUUUGAUAUUUUUAGGCUCAACGGAUAAAAUAAAUGAUCUCUCAAAAUCAUACCAUCCUUCACAUAGUUGUACACUCUUGAAUGAUUGACUUCCUUUCCUCUAUGGUGAGCUCCUUUAGAGCUUCUUGUGUUUGCUCUUGAAUCUUGUCAUUUGAUGAAUGAUCUACUUUAUCAUCAUUGUUUAAUAUUCCUACAUCAUCAUCAUCAUCAUCAACACAAGUAUCCUUUCUAGGAAGAGGGUUAGCAUCAUCGAAAACAACAUGUAUUGAUUCUCCAACUACUAAAGUUAUUUUACUAAAGACUCUAUAAGCUUUAGAAUUUAAAGAACAACUAAGACAAAUUCCUUCACCAUUUUUUGCAUCAAAUUUACCAAGAUUGUCUUUAUCAUUGUUUAAAACAAAACAAUUGCAUCCAAAAGGAUGAAAAUAGCUAAUUUUAGACUUUUUGUUUUUGAAAAGUUCAUAUGGAGUUUUCUUUAAAAUAGGCCUAACCAUUACUCUAUUAACAAUAUAGCAAGAAGUGUUUAUGUCUUCCGUCCAAAAAUAUUUUGGUAAAUUGUUUUCACAAAGCAUGGUUCUAGCCAUUUCUUGCAAAGUUCUAUUUUUCCUCUCAAAAACUUUAUGUGCUGAAAAAUUACGGCUAAUUCCAUUUGAGUUGCAAAAAUUUCUAAAACAAAGAGUUUGAAAUUCGAUUCCAUGGUCACUUCUAAUACUAGCGAUAGAGAAACCUUUUUCAUUUUGAUUAAAUUUUUGAAAAUGUGAUGAAUUUUUCUAAAGCUUCAUUGGUAAAAAACAUAUAUUUGCCUUUAAAAUAAUCAUCUACAAGUAAAUUUAAAAUAAUCAUCUACAAGCACAAAAACAUAUAGUUUUCCACCCAAGCUAGUAGUUUUAAUUGGUAAAAAAAGAUCAAUGUGAAUUAAUUAAAUAACUCUACUAGUAGAUACAUUAUUGAUAGGUUUAAAAGAAACUCUCUUAUAUUUGCCUUUAACACAUGCAUUACAUCUGAAUCAAAAUCAAUUUUUGGCAAACCUCCUACUAAGUCAUUUUUGGCUAGUUUAUGCAAUAUGCUCAUGCUAGCAUGUCGUAGUUUUUCAUGCCACAAUAAAAAAGUUAUUUUCAUUUUUAGCAACAAAUCAUAUGUAUGAAUCAUGCAUGUCAUCUAAAUGCACCAUGUAAGUAUUUCCUAUCCUAUGUCUUACAAGCAUAAUCUUAUUAGACACAAUGUCAAUUACUUUACAUCUAUUAGACUAAAAAAAUGACAUUGAAACCUUUAUCACACAAUUGAUUAAUACUUAAUAGAUUAUUCUUAAGACUGUUGACAUACAAAACAUUUCCAAUAAAGAUUGAAGAGGUUUUACCAAUAAAGUCAAUUUCUUCUAUUUGUCUUGUGGAGUUGUCACAAAUGUAACUUCUCCUCCACUUUUUAGCUUAAAUUUGAUAAAAUUGCUCUUGUCACUUGUCAUGUGCCUUGAGCAUCCACUAUCAAGGUACCAUGAGUUUUUGCUUGAAUUUCCCACCUUGAAGCAAUGCUCCUCUCCCUACAAAUAUGGAAUUAAAUUUUUGUUUUUGGUACCCAAAUUCUUUUGGGUCCAUAAGUAUUAGUUCCUAAAUUUUUUGUCUCUUUGGGAAUCCGUUUUGAAAGAACCUCUUUGUCUUGAGUAACACUAAGUCUUUUAAGGACCCAUAUACUCAUAAUAAUUUUUCCUUUAUAAAAUCUUGAUGGACCUCUAUGUUUAUAGAAAUUAAAGCUUGUUCCAAAAAAUUUUGACCUUGAGCUCUCUCAUUUUUAAAAUUUUUUUAAAGGUACUUUGUUAGAUAAAGAUUUUUCUUUUUCAAGCAACUCAAGUUGCUUUUGAUAAUCAUCAGGAACUUUUGAAAGAAAAUUAUGCAAGUCUUAGUUCUUUUUCUCAAAAUCAUUUAUGAUGUGAUCCAGCCUGGCGUUGAUAGUCAAGUCAAUCUAAGUUGCCCGAUCGUGUUGAGGAAGUAUCGUUCGACCUUGAGAAAAGGGUGUAUUUGACUAGUUUGAGCGGAAGUUAUCAAAAAGGGGUUUAAAGAUAGGCUAAAAAUGAAUAAGAUAGGUUUGCUCUAACAAGAAGGUAGGAUAGAUAAUUUGGUAGGAGGUGGAAAUGGUAAAAACGAACUUAAACGUCAAGAACGAUUCAACACUAAAGACAGUGUUGCCCCGGGACUUAUAUUGUUUAAGGUGGGUUAAUGAAAGAUAGAAGGAUGGACCUUGACCCGUUACUUAGGAAAGUAAGAACCAAAGGUAUAAAAAGAUGGACAAAUGCCACACCAAGGCUGGUGAUAAGUUCGGAUAGAAAGAGUUCGGGUUGACGCCACUAGCACGCUAGAUAAGUCACUUGAGACUCGUACGAAAAUAGAGAUGAAGUAAACCUCACAAAACAAAUGUUCAUUCAAUAAUUUGGCAAAAAGUCCUUUCUUUAGUUUACAAAGAAACUAUUUAUAAGCCUAAUAUGACUAUUGAUAUUCGGCAUCUAUGAUGUUCAAACUACCUUAAAUUCUAUUCAUAUUUGUAUUUAACAUGUUCACACAAAAGCAUUAAAAUUCGGUUCAUGCUUGAAGAUGGUGCAUGAAUUGGCCGAACCAUCAUGUUGCUUCACUUGAGGCAUUCAUGCAUGCUUAGCCUUGAAGAAUAGCCAUAAUACCAUGAAUGUGCAGCCUUUUAAUACUCCUACAUCUCCCUUGGCAAAAUUAGGCUUUAAUGUGCCUUGAAUACUAGAAUUGAAUGUAUAGAAAUUCAUCUCCCUUGUGGCCAACGUCCAUGCACUUUAAUAAAUGGUAGAAUAAUCAUGCAUGGUAGAAGAAAUGGUUUGUUCUAGAUGCUGGUUGGUACUUGCACAAAUUUCCCAAGCAUUUAUCUUCCAAUUGUCCAUAAAUACGAUCCAUGAAUCUUCAAAUACAUGAACAAUUAGCAACUUCCUCUUGCAUGAACGUCCUAAAUGCAUGUGUCCCUUUGAAUGCCGUCCAUUGAACCGCAAAUAUGCAUGCACCUUGCAUUAACUCAUCAUCCAUGCAUCUAUGUCGUCGAAGGGGUGUGUACCUGUACCAAACAAUUAACAAAUUAAUUCUCCUUUGGACACACUAAUUAAUUCGACAGCAUAAAACACAUUAAACCUACACAUUAAUUUGGCCAGACAUAUUUAAACCUUGUAAUAGAUUAAGACACAUUUAACACUUGUAUGAAAUAAAAACACAUUAAAUUUGGCUGGAAGAAAAACUUAUUAAAAUCACGUAAUGAAAUAGAAAACAUGAUGAGCUAAAUUGAGCUAGGAUAUUCGGCCAUGAGCUGUAUCAAAUUAAAUAAAAUAAGAGUAGUACGUAUUUUAUUAUAAUGAUAAAAGAAACGAGCUGGAAAAGAACUAAAUUGAGCUCAAACAAGCUGAGAUAAGCUCAAAUGAGCUGAUUUGAACUAAAUGGAGCUUGGAGAGCUGGAGAUGAGCUGAUUCGGCUUGCACAAGGGUCCAAAGGAUCAUUAAGGAGCUGGUCCGAGCUUCUUCAUUUGCAUGAAGCUUUGAUUCAUCCCAAUUUCGAGUGAAUAAAGUUGAAUCAGCUUCUCGAAAGAGCCUAGCUCAGGCUUGGGUCAUUGGGACAUCGGACAGCUUGAUGAGUUCCUUGUUCGAGCUUGGUAAGCUCCCGAGCAUGCUUACAUCAUCCCCCUUCUUCAAAGUGACUUGUCCUCAGGUCAAGUCAUUUGUUCUCCACAAAACAUGUAUUCUUAUACAGUUGAAUGGGACGAAUGGGCGCACGUAAACCUGAAAAAAAGCACCACUUGACAAGGAGAGAUGUUAUCAUUGACAUAGGGAAGAGGUCUAAUAAAAUGAUAAGUUAGGACUGUGCAAACCCUUUUCAAAUUUUUGAUACAUACUCGAGCAAAUGAAGGAUUGCAGAAUUCAAAGUAAUAGAUAAGUCUUACCUUUUCCGAAUUGGUCUUCAUAUUCGGCAACAAAGAAAGCAUAAGACUCGAUCUCAGUUUAUAAUCAGCAAGCUACAAGAAUUAAUCCAAACAAAUAUGUAGUCCAAAUAUCAUUCGUGCAAAGCAUGCAUGAUUAAUAUAAAAAGGUAGAUUCGGUACACCUUCAAAUAAUCAAAACAUCUUACAUGCCAAGGUGUUAUCGAAUAAAUGAACCAAGAGAAAUGUUUCCAAGCAUUCAUAAAUCUCAAAUCUCAUCCGCACAUCAUUGUUCAAGCAAAUUAAUUUCACACAGCAAGUCAAUGAGUGAAAAUUUUCAUUACAGUGAGAAGUUUCAUAUGAUUCAUGAUCUUGCAUAAUUAAACCUUGCAAUUGCUGAUUGGCUUUUACUUCACUAACAAACUCACCAACAUCACAAUUUCCAAUAGUGAUACUCACCUUGCUAUCUUUUAAAACAAACAUGUUAUCAUCAAUCAAAGAAUAGCAAUUGAUCACAUCAAUGGACGGAUCCUUUUCAGAAAGCAAGUUAUGAGCAAAGUUGUCAAUACGAUUCGAAUGGAAUGAGUUAAGGAAUAAAUAAUUCUCACCCUGCUUAUCGUUAGGAAUAGGGAAAUGAAGAUCAGUUUUACCUUUUUCAACCAAUGUAAACCUUCUUUCCUCGGAAAGGUAUUGAAAUCGAAGCUCAUCAGAUGAUCCUUGAUAAACCUGAAAUGAAGGGUGAACACAAAGACAAUUCUCACUUUUUGAAGUGUCUCCUUCACAAAAAUGAUAGAGGGUAGUGUCAACAUGGAUGAUGAACUCGAAGGGACAUGUUGAAACGUUAUUUACAAAUUGAACAUAUGAAUCGAUGCCAGGAUCAAAAGCAUGAGUUGAUCUUACCUUUUCGAGAUGAAACAAGAAUUUCAUAUACAGCCACAUAAAAUGAACAAGGAACAAUUUUAAGUUGUAAUCAAAAUCUUCAAGUUUCAUUUCCUUAGUUAAAGUCCAAGCAUCAAACAAACAUAAAUUGGUCGCACAAAAUUUAGGAUGCUUGUUUUUCCCACAUAUCGAACCAAAAUGACAAAUUCUAGGUUUGAACACACGAGUUUGAUUACUUGUUCCAAAGUGUAGCAAGGGCUUCAUUUUUGUCAAUAAAUCAAACAUAUUGAACCAAAAGGAUUUGUGCAAACACAAAUUCAAACAAUCAAACCUCUUGACAUUCAUCAGAACAGAUUUGCACAAAUUCAAGGAUUUCACACAAGGCAUUAAAUGAUUCACAUAAUCACCAUAAUCAAACAAUGUAAACGCCUUUUGUGAAAACCCGUUAUCACGCAAGAUCAUAUUUGGUGUUUGUGGAUCUAAUCGAACAACAUCAACAAAUUUUUCAUCACAAAAAAAAUCAAGAAAACAACUUCUCAUGCUUCCACUUAGUAUGAAUUUAUCAACCACAAACAAAGAAUAAUGAUUAACCAUUUCAAAAUAAGGAGAUCUUUUAAAAACUAAGUCAUCGAAAAUUUUAUCGACAACUUUCAAACCUGUUUGCCGUGGCUCAGUUGCUAAAGAUUCCUUACCUUUAAGCACUUGUGGUUGGAUUCUACCUUCAACCUUACCUUUUUCGAUCAAAUAAAAGCAUCUUUCAUCGGAAAAGUAUUGAAGUUGAAAGUUAUCAGUCGAAUCUUCAGAAACUAGAAAGAAACAACACGAGGUAAACUCACAUGUUGGUUAGUGGAAGCACCCCUUACUUGUUUUUGCUCCCUAUCAUCUUUUUCGUUCGUUUCUUUUUCUAACUCAUUUUCAAACUCUCUUUCUUUUUCACUUGUCUCUUUUGAAGACUCACUCUCACUUUUUAUUUCAAUUUGCUUUUCUUGCUUGUACACUUUUUCUUUUCUUUCUUCGUACUUACUCUCUUUUUGCUCACUCUCAAUCUCUUUUUUAUCUCUUUCAUUUUCUUCUUUGAUUUCUUUUUAUCUUCUCCUAAUUUCAUUCAGAAUUCGCUCAUUUCUCGCAUUAUCUUUUCUUGCCUCUCUUUUCUUUUUAUUUCUUUUUCUCUUUUCGUUUCAUUAUAAGAAGAAGAUAAUAAGAAGGAAUUAGAAUGACAAGUUUUUCAACAGAAAGAAGGGGAAGAAUCUACAUAACAACCAAGUUCAACUCAUCAUGAAUAUUUCUUUGUGGAUGAUUGCCUUGGCACACUUGAAGAGAUACAUCGAUCUUCUCGUUGGUGUCCUCAGGAAAUCUCAAACUCGAAGUUUGCUUCUCCUUGUCUCAAAUUCCUUGACGAAUAGGAAUCUCGAUAAGAAUUUCUUCCCGAAUAGUCUUUAGAUGUGUGUCACCGUGAUGAUCUUAACUCCAUGUCUCAACUUGGAAAAAUUUGUUUUCAUUAGACUCUUGCUUGAUGGCCUAACUUUUCUUGGAUAGGCUUGAUUUUUCGGUUGAGCAUGUACUCCAUCUCUUUCAUCAAAUAUUGAAAUUCAGAUUCUGAAAAUUCUUCUCAAAACAUGAUUAAUUGAUGAAGGAAAAUGAAUUAAAAUAAAACAGAAAGUAAAUACCUCAUCACAAAAAACCCCCUCACAAUUCACUUGGAAAGAAAAAUAAAUUUUUUCACUCACGCUCGUGUUUACACUCGUUUUAGGCUUUUUUUUCAACACUCUAAUGCAGUCAAACGCUUUUUGCCUUUUACCACUCGAUCUUUCUCUCAUAAUUUCGUAGUUUGUCUUGUUAAACUUAUUUGCUGCUUAGGGGUCGGUUUCAAGGUGGUUACAAUGGCUAUAUUGUAUUGGGUGUGUGGUAGGCUGAAAUAAAAGAAAUUUCCGUUUAAGUGUGGCAUUGGGAAGGGUAAUUAAUGGCAAAUGAUAGAAAAUUCAAACUGGUUGGAUCGGGAAUACAAAGAUGAAUGAAUAAAUUUCAACACUUUUUUUUAAACUUUGAAUUUUCUUCUUUUUUUUCAAUUACAAAUGAUAAAUAAAAAUGGAAUACUUUGAUUCACGAAUUUUUUUUAAUAAAAUUUUUUCAAUUUUUUUCAAUUUUUUUCAAACACUUACUCCAAAACUUCACGAACGUCGAUACUUUUUGAUUUAGUAGCUCUGAUACCAAAUGAUGUGAUCUGGCUAGGAGUUGAUAGUCGAGUCGAUCUAAGUUGCCGGAUCGUCAACGAGGAAGUAUCGUUCGUACAUGAGAAAAGGGUGUAUUUGGCUAGUUUGAGCGGAAGUUAUCAAAAAGGGGUUCAAAGAUAGGCUAAAAAUAAAUAAGAUAGGUUCGGUCUAACAAGAAGGUAGGAUAGAUAAUUUGAUAGGAGGUGGAAAUGGUAAAAACGAACUUAAACAUCAAGAACGAUUCAACACUAUAGACAAUGUUGCCCUAGGACUAUAUUGUUUGAGGUGGGUUAAUGAAAGAUAGAAGGAUGGACCUUGAUCCGUUACUUAGGAAAGUAAGAACCAAAUGUAUAAAAAGAUGGACGAAUGCCACACCAAGGCUGGUGAUAAGUUCAGAUAGAAAGAGUUUGGGUUGACGCCACUAGCACGCUAGAUAAGCCACUCGAGACUCGUACGAAAAUAGAGAGGAAGUAAACCUCACAGAACUAAUGUUCAUUCAAUAAUUUGGCAAAAAGUCCUUUCUCUAGUUUACAAAGCAACUAUUUAUAAACCUAAUAUGCCUAUUGAUAUUCGACAUCUAUGAUGUUCAAACUAACUUAAAUUCUAUUCAUAUUUGUAUUUAACAUGUUCACACAAAAGCAUUAGAAUUUAGUUCAUGCUUGAAGAUGGUGCAUGAAUUGGCCGAACCAUCAUGUUGCUUCACUUGAUGCAUUCAUGCAUACUUAGCCUUGAAGAAUAGCCAUAAUUCCGUGAAUGUGCAGCCCUUUAAUACUCCUACAUCUCCCUUGGCUGAAUAAGUCUUUAAUGUGCCUUGAAUACUUGAAUUGAAUUUAUAUAAAUUCAUCUUCCUUGUGGCCAAUGUCCAUGCACUUUAAUAAAGGGUAGAAUAAUCAUGCAUGAGAGAAGAAAUGGUUUGUUCUAGAUGCUGGUUGGUACUUGCACGAAUUUUCCAAGCAUUUAUCUUCCAAUUGUCCAUAAAUACGGUCUAUGAAUCUUCAAAUACAUGAACAAUCAGCAGCUUCCUCUGGCAUGAAAGUCCCAAAUUCAUGUGUCCCUUUGAAUUUCGUCCAUUGAACCUCAAAUAUGCAUGCACCUUGCAUUAACUCCUCUUCAUGCAUUCGGCUGAACCUAAACACACAUUAAACACACUAAGUUAAACAUGAAUUCGGCUGAACCUUAAUAAAACAUCAUCUAGACAUAUUGAUUAACAUAUUAAAUAAAUUAGAACACAUUUAAUUAUGGACUAGCUAGUAUAUUAAAUUCAGAUAGUUCAGACAUGUGAAAACAAUUAAUGAACUAAUUUGAGUUAAGGAAUUUGGACAUGAGCUGUAUCAAUUUGAAUAAAAUAAAACUAAUACUUAGUUUAUUAAAAUGAUAAAAGAAGUGAGCUGGAAAGAAACUAAAUCGAGCUCAAACGAGCUGAAUUAAACUUAAGUGAGCUGAUUUGAGCUGAGGGAAGCUGAAGAUGAGCUAUAACCAGCUUGCACUAAGGUGCAAUGAGUCUUUAAUGAGCUGGCCUGAACUUCUCCUUUAACAUGGAGCUCACUUUCAGUCUAGAGUUGAGCAAUUAAAGCUGAAACAGCUUCUUGAAGGUGCUUAGCUCGAGCUUGAGUCAUGGGACCUUUAGGGAGCUCAAUCGGAAUAAGAUUAGAACUUGUUGAGCUCGGGGGUGUGGUCACGUCAUUCCCCCCUUCUUCAAAGUGACUUGUCCUCAAGUCGAGUCGUUUGUUCACUUGAAAAUAUUUCUUCUUAUGCGGCCCUUCUUGGACGAAUGGGGUGAAUGGUCUCACGUAGACCUUUUCAAAUUGACUAGCCAUAUGCGGCAGUAGAGUUGGCAAAUGAAUCAAUUGAAAUGGAUAGCCAUAAGUCGACAAGAAGUUAUCCAAACAAACAUGUAGAUCAUGCAUAAUCGUAUUAAGACAAGUUUGAUUCAUUUAAAAGGGCAGAUUCAAAACACCAUUUCUACAGUUAACUGAACAAAACAUUUUACAUAACAAAGCCUCAUCAAAUGUCCGAAACAAAAAUAGAUAUGUUUUAAGGCAUUCGAACAUCUCAAAUUGCUUCCAUAAGUCAUCGUUUAAAACAAACACUUCAUUGCUAAUCAGAGAAGAACAAUCAAUCACAUCAAGAUACAAAUAUUUUUCAAAAACCAAAGCAUCAACAGAGUUUUCAUCAUCAUUCGAAUAAAAUAGAGAUGUCUUAAGAUUUUCCAAAGUCAUUCCUUGUUUACCUUUAAGAGUAGGAAAACAAAGAUCGGUUCUACCUUUUUCGAUCAACACAAACCUUCUCUCCUUAGAGAUAUAGUGUAGUCAAAACUCAUUAUACGAUCCUUGAGAAACCUAAAAUGAAGUGUAAACACAAAGACAAUUCGUGCUUUUCAAAGUGUCACUUUCACAAAGAUGAAAAAGGUUAGUGUUACCAUGGAUGAUGAACUCGAAGGAACUUUCUAAAAUGUUAUUCACAAAUUGGACAUAUGAAUCGAUGCCAGGAUCAAAAGCGUGAGUUGGCCUUACCUUUUCGAGAUGAAACAAGAAUUUCAUGUACAACCACAUAGAAUGGACAAGGAACGACUUUAAGUUAUAAUUAAAAUCUUCAAGUUUCGUUUCCUUGGUUAAAGGCCAAGCAUCAAUUAAAUUGUUCGCACAAAAUUUAGGAUACUUGAGUUUCCCACAUAUUGAACCAAAAUAAAAAAUUCCAGGUUUGAACACACGAGUUCGAUUACUUAUUUCAAAGUGUAGCAAAGGUUUCUUUUUUGUCAUUAAACUAAACUUGCCGAACCAAAAGGAUUUGUGCAUACACAGAAUCAAAUAAACAAACCUCUUUACAUUCAUCAUAACAGAUUUGCACAAAUUCAAGGAUUUCACACAAGGCAGUAAAUGAUUCACAUAAUCACUACAAUAAAAAAAUUUGGGAUGUUUAUAUGAAAACUCAUUGUCAUACAUGACCGAGUUUUGCAUUUGCUAAUUAAAUGCUAUGAAAACUCAUUGUCAUACAUGACCGAGUUUUGCAUUUGCUGAUUAAACGCUACUUCAACUUCACGCUUGACAAUACAAUGAUUUUCAUUAGAAAAACUCUUCUUACCACCUUUUAAAACAUCAACAUUAAUCAAAGAAGGAAAAUUAACCAUAUCAAAGCAUGAAGCUUUUUAAAGAUGAAGUCAUCGGCAAUAUUUUUACCAACAUUCAAGAAGGAUGGCUGAAAUUCCAGUGCUAUGGAACCCUUACCUUGCUUACCUUUAAGUAAUGGCGGACUAAGGUUGUUCACAAUCUUACCUUUGUUGGUCAACUUGAAUCGUCUCUCAUUAGGAAGAUAUUAAACCUGGAACUUUUCAAUCACAUCUUCAGAAACCUGAAAAGAAGCAACACGAGGAAAACUCAUAUGUUGGUUAGUGGAAACACUCCUCACUUGUUCUUGCUCCCUAUCAUCUCUUUUGUUCGUUUCUUUUUCUAACUCAUUUUCAAACUCUCUUUCUUUUUCACUCGUCUCUUUUGAAAACUCACUCUCACUUUUUAUUUCAAUUUGCUUUUCUUGCUCGUACACUUUUUCUUUUCUUUCUUUGUACUCACUCUCUUUUUGCUCACUCUCAAUCUAUUUUUUCUCUCUCUCAUUUUCUGAUUUGAUUUCUUUUUCUCUUCUCUCAAUUUCAUUCAGAAUUUUCUCAUUUUCUCACAUUUUCUUUUCUUGCCUCUCUUUUCUUUUUUUUUUCUUUUUUCGUUUCAUUACAAGAAGAAGAUAAUAAGCAAGAAUCAAAAUGGCAAGUUUUUUGACGGAAAGAAGGGGAAGAAUCUAUAUAUGAGCCAAGUUCAACUCGUCGUGAAUAUUACUCCGUGGAUGAUUGCCUUAGCGCACUUGAAAAGAUACAUCGAUCUUCUCAUUGAUGUUUUCAAAAAAUCUCAAACUUGAAGUUUGCUUCUCCUUGUCUCUAAUUCAUUGACGAAAUUUGCUUUCAUUGGCCUCUUGUUUGAUGUCCUAAAUUUUCUUGGAUAGGUUUGAUUUUUUGGUCGAGCAUGCACUCUAUCUCUUUCAUCAAAUAUUGAAAUUCAGAUUCUGAAAAUUCUUCUUGAAACAUGAUUAAUUGACGAAGGAAAAAGGGAUUAAAACAAAAUAGAAAGUAAAUACCUCACCACAAAAAAAACUCACAAUUCACUCGGAAAGAAAAAUAAUAAUUUUGCACUCGCGCUCGUGUUUGCACUCGUUUUAAGGCUUUUUAUUCUCUCUAAUACACUCACACUCGUGCCUUUUACCAUUCAAUUCUUUCUCCCGUAAUUUUGUAUUUCGUCUCGUUUAGACUUAUUUGCUGCUCUGGGGUCGGUUUCAAAGUGGUUUCAAAGGUUGUAAUCGUAAAAGGUGUGAGGUAGGCUGAAUAAGAAAAUUUUGGGUUUAAGUGUAGUGUUGCGGGGGCAAUUGAUAGUAGAACGAACAACUUGAUGAUCGAGAUUACAAAUGGAUGAAUAAACAAGAACUUAAACAUUUUUUUAUACUCGAAUUUUUUUAAUUACAACGCCAUGAUUACAAUAGAGAACUUUAGAAUUGAAUUUGAAUUUUUUUUUAAUUCAAAACUUUUUUUUACUAUCCUACUUCGAAAAUGCUACGAACGUCGGUGGUCCUCGUUUUAAUAGCUCUGAUACCAAAUGAUACGAACUCGUCUCAGUGAUGAUUUGAGUUCUUUAGUUGCCCGAUCGUAAAAUUAAGAAGUAUGUUUUAAAGUUUUUGAAUUGGGUUGAAAAGAGAACAAAUUGGCUGGAAUUGUAACAUCUCGAAUUAGGGCCUAGUCGAAACAGUGGUUUCGAGACUACAAAUUUGAGAUAGAAAUAAUGAUUUUAUGAUUCUUAUGAGGGUUAUGUUAUGAAUGCAUGCAUGCGUGAAAGUUUCAUGAAGAAAUUCUAUGCAUAAAAUGUCUAAUUGCAUUUUAGGGACCAAAUUGAAUAAAGUACAAAACUUGCAUUUUAUAAGCUUUAAGCAUAAAUUGCUUUAGGUUAUAAAUUGGAGGGUCUUAAUUAGCAAUUUGACCAAUUUCUAUAAUUUUGGACAAAAAUGGACAUGCAUAGGGAAAAAUGUAAAAGUGAAUCCCUAGGGGUAUUUUGGUCAUUUGGUAAUUAAAAGAAUAAAAAGGAAAAAAUAAGUCAAAAUUGGUGUCCAUCUUCUUCCUUUAUUGCUGAAAAUUGCAAGACACCAUAGCUAGGGUUUGUUCAACAUUUCCAAGCUUGAUUGUAAGUGCAUCCUAGCCCCGUUUUUAAUGUUCUUUGUAUUUUUAAAGUCUUUGAAGCAUGAUCUACCUGUUUUUAGCUAUAUUUUGAGCUAGGGUUCAUGUAUGAAAUUGGACCCAUGUACAACAUGCAUUUUGAUGAUUAAUGGAGGAAUAUGAAUGUUUGAGGCACGAUAAACAUCUUUUACUAGGUGAUUUUUAGUGAAAACACAUAAAUAAGGGACUUGUUUGUAAAAAUGUUAAGGUGAGUAGUAAUAAUGUGAAAUAAAAGAAAAUAUGGGCUGAUAUGAGCAUAAUAAAGGUUCGACUAGGCUUGGGUAACCAAGAAAAUGUAUGCAUUCCAUUUUACGAGCCUAAGGACUAAAUUAUAAAUAUGUAAAAGUUUAAGGGUCAAAAUAUAAAUUUUCACAAGUGUGAUUUAUGGACCCAUUUUAAUAAUAUGAAUAAUAAAUAAGUUAAAUUUGGCAUUAUAGAUAAAGAAAAACGUGAACCAGGACUUGAUCGAGGAAAGAAUAAUGAAUACGACGAUUAGGCCCUAUUAUCAUCAUUUUGUACCGAGGUAAGUACAUAUGAAAAUAAUAUGGUGUUGUAAUAUGUUUUUCUUAUUGCUUUAAUAUACUAUGAUAAAUAUUGUAUUGUGAUUAUGAGUUAUAUGCUUAUUGAACGUUAUGAAAGCAUGAAUGUUAUUAUGGCCGUUACAUACGACGUCACGAGCAAGUGUGAUAAAAAUAUUAUAUGCAAGUGAGGAAAAUCCCAUUUGAACCAUAGGAAUAGUUUAGGAUACAAGUGACAUGUCACUAGGAAUUUAGAAAUUUGAUCUCAUUGAGUUGGUCCGAGUUCGUGAUAUAUGUGAGAAAACAAAACUUGUUGAGUUGGACCAAGUUCGUGAUAUAUGUGAAGCAUCCAAGCUUGUUGACUUGAUCCGAGUUCAUUAUGGAUGCGAUGCAUGUGACAUCUGAGCUCGUUCAGUUGGUCUGAGUUCAUUAUGGAUGUAUACAUAUUAUGAGGUAGCUUUGGCUAUGUAUGUAUUUGUGGCACUUAGGUGCAAGUUUCCGCGUAUCCAAUAGUAUUCCUAGUGUUCAACGGGUAAUGAAAUGAUUGUGAUUAAAGUCCCGAGGAGGACAUAUGAAAAAGGUAUGGUUAUAGAUACUUUACGACGGGUACAGGUAUGCAUGCUAAACCUAUGAGUAAUGCCUCGAUAAAGAUUGGUUUAUAAUGAGCAAGUAUAUAUGUGCGUAUGAUGAAUAAGCAAAAAGGUUUGAAUGAUGAAUACUCUUAUGUAUAUAUUUUCUAUGUAUUGCAUGCUGAAUAUUUACUAUCAUUUCAUAUUAUUUGUAUGUGGACUUACUAAGCUUUAAUGCUUACUCCCUUCUCUUUCCAUUCUUUGUAGUUCUGCCAAGCUAUCUCGGGGAUCGGAAGUUGUCGGAGUAUUCGAUCACACUAUCAAAAGACUAUUGGGUAUAGUGAAAUUAUUAUUUUGAGUAUGGCAUGUAUAGGAAACUUGGUAAUUUUGUGGUAUGUGUCAUGCUAUUUGGCCAAAUUGUGAAGGCU